rnacentral:rRNA from 1 species
CCAAUAGUGUAUAUUAAAGUUGCUGCAGUUAAAAAGCUCGUAGUUGAAUUUCAGAACCAAUAUGUUGGUUGUGCCUUGGUACGUACUGGCAUUGUUGGUUUCUCCCUUCUGACGAACUAUGAUGUCAUUAAUUUGGUGUCAUGGGGAAUCAGGACUGUUACUUUGAAAAAAUUAGAGUGUUUAAAGCAGGCUCACGCUUG